GUCACCCCCGUCCCUUCUCACCCGGCUUCCUGCCUUUGCCCUGACGCCGGCGACGGACGAGGAGGACGACGAGGAGGCAGAGCAGCAGGACGAAGGCCCCCGCGGCCCCGAUGAGGACGUACAGGAAUGAGAGCAAAAUAAAGUCAUUCUUAGAGGAAGGAACAUGGGAAGAGUUUGUGACCAGCAGGUCUGCUCCACAAGAAAUGUUCUGCAGGUCACAGGUACAAAAUCACUGGGCUAAUGCCAAGGCGUCAACAGUGCCACUUGCUUUUGGUAGCUCUGCAGUGAGAAUCUGUCUCCAUGCCUUUUCAGCUUCCAGAGGCAGCCUGCAGCAUGUGGCUCCUGACCCCUUCCUUCCAUCACUGCAGCCUCUUGAUUCUGUCCUCACAUCCCCCACCAUUGGCUCUGACCUUUCGCCUCCCUCUAAUAAAAAGCCUGUGAAUACA